UGAAAGGCAAUGAACGGGAAAAGUACCAUGGAGGUUCCGUCACAGUGAGCCGGAGACAGUGAGAACCCGGCACCAGGAGGCCAUGCGAAGAACACCCGGGAGCUUCGAGCAGAACGCGCGUCCCGUCGGAGAAAUCCGAUUCUGCCGCGCCAGUAAGUAAGACGAGUUGUGAUCGUUACAUCACACGGGCUUGUUGGAGCCCAGAAGGGAUCGCUUCAGCGAUAAAUUAGGUGGCACCGCGGAUAGCAGCUAUUCGUCCUAAAC
rnacentral:ncRNA from 1 species